GAAUUUUUAAGAGAGAGCUGCUAACUACCUCGAAGCUGUAAUGUUAAAUUCCUA
rnacentral:tRNA from 1 species